GAUGAACGCUGGCGGCGUGCCUAAUACAUGCAAGUCGAGCGAACGGACGAGAAGCUUGCUUCUCUGAUGUUAGCGGCGGACGGGUGAGUAACACGUGGAUAACCUACCUAUAAGACUGGGAUAACUUCGGGAAACCGGAGCUAAUACCGGAUAAUAUUUUGAACCGCAUGGUUCAAAAGUGAAAGACGGUCUUGCUGUCACUUAUAGAUGGAUCCGCGCUGCAUUAGCUAGUUGGUAAGGUAACGGCUUACCAAGGCAACGAUGCAUAGCCGACCUGAGAGGGUGAUCGGCCACACUGGAACUGAGACACGGUCCAGACUCCUACGGGAGGCAGCAGUAGGGAAUCUUCCGCAAUGGGCGAAAGCCUGACGGAGCAACGCCGCGUGAGUGAUGAAGGUCUUCGGAUCGUAAAACUCUGUUAUUAGGGAAGAACAUAUGUGUAAGUAACUGUGCACAUCUUGACGGUACCUAAUCAGAAAGCCACGGCUAACUACGUGCCAGCAGCCGCGGUAAUACGUAGGUGGCAAGCGUUAUCCGGAAUUAUUGGGCGUAAAGCGCGCGUAGGCGGUUUUUUAAGUCUGAUGUGAAAGCCCACGGCUCAACCGUGGAGGGUCAUUGGAAACUGGGAAACUUGAGUGCAGAAGAGGAAGGUGGAAUUCCAUGUGUAGCGGUGAAAUGCGCAGAGAUAUGGAGGAACACCAGUGGCGAAGGCGACUUUCUGGUCUGUAACUGACGCUGAUGUGCGAAAGCGUGGGGAUCAAACAGGAUUAGAUACCCUGGUAGUCCACGCCGUAAACGAUGAGUGCUAAGUGUUAGGGGGUUUCCGCCCCUUAGUGCUGCAGCUAACGCAUUAAGCACUCCGCCUGGGGAGUACGACCGCAAGGUUGAAACUCAAAGGAAUUGACGGGGACCCGCACAAGCGGUGGAGCAUGUGGUUUAAUUCGAAGCAACGCGAAGAACCUUACCAAAUCUUGACAUCCUUUGACAACUCUAGAGAUAGAGCCUUCCCCUUCGGGGGACAAAGUGACAGGUGGUGCAUGGUUGUCGUCAGCUCGUGUCGUGAGAUGUUGGGUUAAGUCCCGCAACGAGCGCAACCCUUAAGCUUAGUUGCCAUCAUUAAGUUGGGCACUCUAAGUUGACUGCCGGUGACAAACCGGAGGAAGGUGGGGAUGACGUCAAAUCAUCAUGCCCCUUAUGAUUUGGGCUACACACGUGCUACAAUGGACAAUACAAAGGGCAGCGAAACCGCGAGGUCAAGCAAAUCCCAUAAAGUUGUUCUCAGUUCGGAUUGUAGUCUGCAACUCGACUACAUGAAGCUGGAAUCGCUAGUAAUCGUAGAUCAGCAUGCUACGGUGAAUACGUUCCCGGGUCU
rnacentral:rRNA from 1 species